CAACAUGGCAUGGUUCAGCCCACAUUUAUAGAUAAAGCCAAUACCUCCUCCAUAUCAGUAUUAAAGCUUAUUAUAUAAAAAACCAUUGACCCUGAAACUGUUUAACUCCAUCGCUUUUGGAUAUGGAUCAAUAUGAAGAUGAAACGAGGUGCUUCGACAUGGGUUCGUUGCAGACAAGUCUUCCUAAAAAAAGAGGGUUGUCAAGGUAUUACUCAGGGAAGGCAAGAUCAUUUACGUGCAUGGCGGAUGUUCGAAGUGUAGAAGACCUUAAGAAACAAGAAAAACCAGACGCCAAGAAAAGGAAGGUCAAAUAUUUGAAUAGGAAUGAAGAUGUGCAAAAUAAUAUAAUUCCUCAAUAUCCAUGUCGAAGGGUUUCAAGUACCACCCACUUUGCCGCACCUUAUGUUCAUUAACCAUUACGCUUCUCCUUCUGUAAAUUUACAUAAUUUACAACCCAAAUUUCCUUGGCUUCUUGUAUUCUGAUAUAUAUAUAUAUAUAUAUAGUGUCACGCCCCCUCCCGGGUAUCCCUCUCCCGCCGCAUCCGGACACUCCAGGAGACUCGGGAUUCCGAGAGGAGGGUGAAUAUUAUCAUGGGACAGGGACACCCUAUAGACCCCUAUAACAAUUGUUUUUUUUUUAAUGUUUGGCUUAUGUACAGAAGUCAAAAACUGAUAAUUUUAUAAAUAUAUAAUCCAUUGGGCAAA